UACGGAGGGGUGCAAGCGUUGUCCGGAAUCACUGGGCGUAAAGGGCGCGUAGGCGGCUCAUGAAGGCUGUGGUGAAAGUCCGGGGCUCAACCUCGGAUCGGCCGUGGCGACUCGUGGGCUGGAGCACUGUAGAGGCGGGUGGAAUUCCGGGUGUAGCGGUGGAAUGCGUAGAGAUCCGGAAGAACACCAGUGGCGAAGGCGGCCCGCUGGGCAGUGGCUGACGCUGAGGCGCGACAGCGUGGGGAGCAAACGAGGAUAUAA
rnacentral:rRNA from 1 species